AUUCUAUUUUGUUUCGUAAGCACCAUAACUGGCUGUUCAUGCCUUGUGUGAGAUAUGCCUCCCUUGAACCUA
rnacentral:snoRNA from 1 species